AGGAGCCCCAGCCCUGGGAUUUUCAGGAGUUUUCAUUUGGUGAUCAGGACUGAACACAGAGGACUCACCAUGGAGCCAUGGCUGAGCUGGGUGUUUCUUGCUGUUAUUUUCAAAGGUGCCCAGUGUGAGGUGCAGCUGGUGGAGUCUGGGGGAGGCUUGGUAAAGCCUGGGGGAUCCCUGAGACUCUCCUGUGCAGCCUCUGGAUUCACCUUCAGUAACUACUACAUGGAGUGGGUUCGCCAGGCUCCAGGGAAGGGGCUGGAGUGGGUAGGUUUCAUUAGAACCAAAGCUAAAGGUGGGACAACAGAAUACGCCGCGUCUGUGAAAGGCAGAUUCACCAUCUCAAGAGAUGAUUCCAAAAGCAUCGCCUAUCUGCAAAUGAACAGCCUGAAAACCGAGGACACGGCCGUGUAUUACUGUACCAGAGACACAGUGAGGGGAGGCCAGUGUGAGCCCAGACACAAACCUCCCUGCAGGGGCGCGCGGGGCCACCAGGGGGCGCUCGUGACCCACUGA